ensembl:lncRNA
GUAGCAACAUGGACAGCAUCCACCAUUCUCCCCCUCCUUAUUCAGCAACCACGAACAGAGCUGAUGACUCAAUGGUGGCAGCUGCAGCCCAUUGCUAAUCACAUACAGUACCUGGAGGGUGAUAAGGCUCAUGAAAGAGAGCAGGGGAAGCACACAACACAAUACAGCACAGAAAAAGAAAGAGGACCAUAGUGUGGAGCGCUACUGACAGUCCUAUGGCUACAGCUUGUUGUGCUCGAGUCCAUGAUUGAUCACUUCAUAUGCACGCAAGUAUAUACGCAGAUGCACACACACCUCUACUUGAUUCAUUACAUUUCUUUUGCACUUUACUGUCUUUCAAUUUUUCUGUGUUCCACAUCUACCCUCCUAGCAGAGUCUGCAACAGCAAGUUGAAGGCUUUUUCCCCACUUCUCUGUCCUCCCCUGAUCGAGAGUGACAUUUAAAAAAUAUUUUUACAGCUGUAGCUUUACCACUAACUGGGGAAGUACACAGUACAAGUGCUUACCCGCUGCACACAGAGGGUUUAAUUUCAGUUUGUUAUGUUUGUCUACUAUCUUUUUAGGCACUGGGCUACACCACCAUGCAGUUGUCUACACCUUAAACAAUAUGACAGUUUACCGCUGUGUUCUCUUAAAGGCGGGAUAAAUAUGAUUUUGUUAGUUCUCUCCAGUUAAGCAUAAAAUUGCACCUUUUUUUUUUUUUUUUUUUUUUUUUUUUACUGUUUUGUAAAGAACUGUGCAGUGCAAUGACUGGAUAGCUAAGGGACAUGCACUAAAAGUAAAUGGGCAUACAAUGAAGUAUACUUAAAUCAAUGCAAAUGUCAGCAUUUUACAGUGCCAAGUUUACUGUGACCGGACGCUUGACACAUAAUAUUGAAAAAUGCAUUGAUUAUACAAUUCAAUGGAUGCCGGAGAAUUUAACAUGGUCUCUGACUGCUCAGUUUGCCCACCGCAUUGGCUAGUCAGUGCUCAGUGGCCCAUAUACAGGAGUAAACCCACUACCAGGUGAAGGUUUGUAUAAUUCCUAGUAUGGAUACAGUCUGAAAAGGGUUACAGCGUGAGGCUUAAUUUGUAUGCAUAUUUUCUAUCAGCGUUCCUGUCCUCUGAAGGAAAAUUUCGAUUAAUAUCACCAUGGCUCUUUUUCAACACAUGACAGUCAAGGACACUUUCCCCCCUAUAUAUACUGCACACAUGGGAGCGUUGGCCCAAAAUAAAUAAGUUACAGUAUCAAUGUAUGCCUCAGAUAAGAGAUCAAAUUAAAUGAACCCUUCGAAGUAAUCCCUCAGUGCCUGGAAAAAUAAGCCUUAAAAAAAGUUACACACAGAGGGUUUCAUUUUGUGGGACAGUUUUUAGACUGUAAC